UUAGGGCCGGGUGGUUAGGCGCUCCUUUUGGGUAGGAGAAGAGUUGCGUUCGAACCGCAAUAAUCUGAAUGGUUUCUAGAAUUAAUAGAAAUGUAAUGGAUAUAGAAUAUGUAUUUAUAUAAAUAUAUAAGUAUACAAAGAAACUAUUAUGGACAUCUAUGCUAUGUAUUAACGAGUUUGAAUUAUUUACUCCUUUUUCUAAAUUUUAAAUUAUAACUUAGGUUUAUUAAGUUGAAUUAUUUAUUGUAAUUUAAAAUAAAAAUUAUGGAAAACAAAUAUAAACUCUAAGAGAAAUCAGUUAGUUAACGAAGUGAAUUGAAAUAUCUUAGUAACUUCAGGAAAAGAAAUCAAAAGAGAUUCUAUUAUUAACGUGAGCUAGAAUAGAACAGUCUAUAUAUUAAGUAAAACGGUCAAGAAACUGUUUGAAUUUAAUGGGGAACCUUCCUCAAAGGCUAAAUAUAAUACAUGAGCGAUAGCGCAAAGUAUCAUGAGAGAAAGAUUAGAAAUAGUAGUUUUAUAAGCAGUUCAAGCGAAAGUGAGAACGUACCUUUUGCAUAAUGGGUCACCAAGUUAACAUUAGAUGCGAGUGAAAGCGCAGAUAAACCAAUCGUUAAAAUAACGAGAAAUUAUAGUGUCUAAAGUUAGACCCGAAGCCCGGUGAUUUUACCACAAUCAGGAUUAUAAAAGUCCGAACGGGUUAUCGUUGCAAAGAUAUCCGAAGAAUUGUGGUAGGUAGUGAAAGACAAAACUGACCGGGAUAGCUGGUUUUCUGCGAAACCUAUAACAGUAGGCAAUUUGAGUCACAUCUUAGCAGGUACAGAAUUUAAUCUCAGACAAGAUGUAUAAAUUUUAAAGUGUAAGCUUUAAAAUUACAUUAUAUUUUUGUAUAUAUCGGGGGAUCGUGAAGAUUUUAUCGGUGAGUAUGUAGACUCGGAAUGGCAAAGAUGAAUCUUGAAUUAUCGGACAUAGAAUGAUAAGGUUGUAUGUCAAAAGGGAAACAGCCCAGAACAAGAGUUAAGGUUCCAAAAUUAUUAGUUAAGUGAAAUUAAGAAAGUUUUUAUUAAAGUCGAUAAGGAGAUUGGCUUAGAAGCAGCCGUAAUUUGAAGAUCUCGUAACAGAGCACUUAUUAAGUUUUAAAAGCAUCGAAAAUUUAACGGAUCUAAACAAUAUACCGACACCUUGUCCAAUAUUCGCAAAAACAUAAAGUUGUAUGCGAAUUAAGGGGUAGCAGAACGUUGGAUUAAAUUAAGAUAUUAGAUUAUUAAAAAUAUAUAACAAAUAAUUCAAGUGAUAAUGGUGACAUGAGUAACAAAUAAGAAGGUAAUACCACUUAUUCUUUAUUUUCGGAUAAAGAAGGUGGUUUAAGAUACCUCCGCCUAAAGCUUAUGGUUUUGGUAUAAAGUAACGGCCUCUAAGUUUAUAACCUAAAGGUUUAAACGAUGAGAAAAUCUUAUUUACUAAAAACAACAUUUCUAAGUGAGAAGUGUGCUGGAAAAACUGUAAAUAUAUAUUUAUUAAAUAAAUAUGAAAAUAACCGUACCUAGAAACUGCUACAAGUAAGCUAGUAGAGAAUACGAAGGCGUUAAUGGGCUAACAAUCAUAAAGGAACUCGGCAAACUAACUACCGUAACUUCGGGACAAGGAGAGCUCAUUAGUCUUGAUUAAUAUCAGGUAAAAAGGAAGAAGCAUAAAAUAGUGUUGUACGACUGUUUAAUUAAAACACAGCACUUUGCUAAAAGAUGAAAAAUCUAAGUAUUGAGUGUGAUGUCUGCCCGAUCCCGGCUGGUUAACAGAUACUACUGAAUUGUUAAAAAAUUUGGUGUUGACGGAACCCCCGGUCAAUGGCGGCCUUAACGUGAGGGUCCUAAGGUAGCGAAAUGCCUUGGCCGUUAAAUGCGGUCUUGCAUGAAUGAUGUAACGAUACAACAGCUGUCUCUAUGAUUGACCCAGUGAAAUUAUAAUAACUGUGCAGAUACAGUUUACCUCUAGUUAGACGAGAAGACCCUAUGCAGCUUUACUGUUACUAAUUAUAGGAUAUGCUAGAAAAAUUUCAGGUUAUAAGGUAAAUUGAUUAAAUAAAAAUGAGAAUCCUUUAUUUCCCUAUCAUAUUCCAGAAUUAAUUCUUAUUCUAAGAAUUAACCUAAUCUGACUUAUAUUUAUUAAUAUAAGUAGUAGCCUUGGUAAAGGAAUGUAUGGCUAGGAGACAGUUUAUGUGGGGCACAGACCCCUUAAAGAGUAAAAGGGAGUGUCUAAAUAUCAUAAGUUAUAAAUUUAUAACGGUGUUUGUGGUUUUAUGUAGUUCAAGUGUUAUUCACUUUCUAUAUUCAAUCUUCUAUACUUAUUUAUAGAAAAGUACCUUUAUUGGUACAUAUAAAUAAAGAUAAGCAAUUUUAUUAAGGUACGUUUUUCCCUAUAGAGAAAAUAGGAGUAGAAAAGAAAAAAGUACGAAAAGUCUUUUUUGAAUCAGUUAUUUAAAUAAAAAUAAUAAUGAGUACUACUUACAAAGCUCAACGGCUAAAUCGUGCCUUACUGUUUGAUUAACAACAAAUCUUACAGUUGCGUAAGCAGGGCAUAGGAUCACAAGAUGCAACAAGGAAAGAUCUUGGAUUAUUGGAAAAGCUACGCUAGGGAUGUUUGUCCUUCAAUAUUUUAUUAAUUAUUGAGAAUAUUAUUGGGUUAAUUUCAAGAAUUACUUUGAAAAUAAGUAAAUUUGAAGCGAAAUUUAUCUUAGCAUUAAUUUAAAAAGAUAAAAUCGUUCAACGACUAUAAGGUGAGUUAUGCUAACAAUAAUCCUUUUUAACACCCAACAUUUUUAUUAUACAUACUUAUAAAAAAAAAUAAAAGUAAAUUUAAACCAUUUUUUAAUGAAAAAAAAUACAAAUCUUAAUCUU
rnacentral:rRNA from 1 species